GAUACCUUUUUUCCCAUUCUCCUUCUCAUCUCUCUCUUCCCUUCGCCCUAGCCGCACUCCCGUAACCACCAUCAUCCUCAGCUCUGACCACCUAAUCACCAUCCUCACAACCGUUUUUCUCCAAGCCAAGCUCCAAAUCUCAGGCACCCGUGAACCCAACCCCUGAACCAAGUGACCCCAAGUGCGAGCCCAUCUCUGCGUGCCUUUGACCUAGUGCAACUUCCAUUCGUGGGCCACCACCAAGCUUACGCUGUUGAGGGGAAGAUGAAAGGGAUCUGUCCAAAAUUUUGCAAGUUUUUGAAGCUAAAGCCCUUUGUCCAUAGCCGAGAAAAAGAAGAAGAAAAGAUGCAGCAGAGAAAAUCAACAUAUGGGAGGCCUACUGGAACGGACGGUUCCAAUUUCUCCUACUGCAUGGUCGUUGAAUCUAGGUAUCAAAGAGUAGCUGAAGGAAAGUCCCACCUCUCUAAGCUAAUUUUUGUUCAGAUUGAGCAUGCCCAGCAUCUUACACCUAGGACUGCAGACCAGUUUGGUGAACUAGGGAUUAUUGCUUCAGUACAGGAUCAAUUCCCUCAUAGUUUGGCAACUUCUUUGGUCAUCUCGUUUUUUACAUGAAAGGAAAAUGACAUGCAAAUCAUUAGAGAUUUGAUCGACUCUGCUAUAGUAGAUAGCAAUGUUCAGGAUGGUCUAAGAUGGCCCUUAGGGAAGAAUGUUUCUAGUGAAAAAUUUUAUGUCUGUUCAGUCAGGCACAUAACCCGUAAAGUAUACAAAAAAUCAUCGUUGAAGCUGAAGAUCAGGAGAACAUCUCUUGACUAUCCAAGAUGGGAAAAUGGAAUAAAGAGUUUAACUUAUGUGAGGAAGUGAAGUCCAAACAUCCAAAGAUUACCUAUGCUGAUCUUUACUAGCUUGCUGGGGUUGUUGUUGUUGAGGUCACUGGAGGUCCAACUAUUGACUUUGUUCCAUGAACAAUCUUUAAAUAAUCAGAUUAAACAAGUGAAGUGCAAAAGAAAAUCUGAUUUGGAAGACUUUGGUGUUCUUACAUUUGGAAGAUCAUGAAUUCCUACUUUUACUUUUGAAUAUGCAACUGUUUAAGAAUAUUUUGUUGACUAUUGUGAGAAUGUUUUGUUUAUGUUAAUUAGUAAGUGUUGAAUAUCUUAAGACUUUUAGAUUGUAUUUUAGAUAAUCUUGAAUGUAUUUUGACACAAUUAUUUGGUUA